GACCACAAACUACCUGCAGUCAGAAACUGGAUUGGGAGUCACUUGUCCUCGCUGUUCUCCCGCUGCCUCUGGACGACCCCAUGAGAAUUGCUUUUUCUGGACUGGACCUGAAACUACCUGCAGUCAGAAACUGGACUGGGGUUGGGACUGGAUUGUGUCCAUUUAGAAACCAGGCUGGAUCUGACUUAAGCCGGAGGCAAGCCAUUGUGAAGCUCUCAGUUUGUGGUGAUCAGCGCGGGACCCACAGGGAUAGACAUUCCCUCCAGAGCCUGCAAACAGCACCUUGGAAAAACUGGCAGAAGUCAGCAAAUGGUAAGAAUUGUUAUUAGAGGCAGCUAGUUCUCUGUCUGUGAUGUUUGUUCAAAAGAAGGUAGGAGUCCCCUGGUGGCUCCACUGGUUAAAAGAGCUGGUGUUGUCACUGCUGUGGCUUAGGGUUAGUCCCUGUUCCUGGAACUUCUGCAUGCCACAGGCGGAGCCCAGCGCCCCCCCCCCCGCCCCCGCCCGCCAGAGAAAUGAAAGUAAAACUUCACAUGGUCUUUUUCAAAUCCAGAUUGGCAGGAAAAACAUUGGUUAUCAAUCCUUUCUCUUCUAGGACGGCUGUUGCCUUCUGGUUUGUCUCCUUUAGUGUCCUGAGAACUUGGCUUGGCAACCAUCAGUUUUGGGGGCCCCCAAAUGUGGCCAGAGAUCAGGGUUGCACCCCCUUUGUGGCUAGAUAUGGCUGGACGGUGCUGUGGGUUGUACCCAUUUGAGGCUCAGGAGUCUACUGACUGACCAUUGCCCCCCUCAGGGGACUUGUCUAAGUCUGUCCCUUUUGGCUAUCUUUCGGAGUGACUCUGGAUCUUGGGAGGGCAGCAUCUUUUGCAUCUUUUGCAUGAACCUCUGCUGUGUCCAUGUCCACUGUGGAGUCCUACAGGGAAUAUUUCCUGUUCGUCCCAGCUGAAACCUCACAACACAUUGGAAAGGAUUUGUUUAAAAGUAACUCUAGGGGAGUUCCCGUCGUGGCGCAGUGGUUAACGAAUCCGACUAGGAACCAUGAGGUUGCGGGUUCGGUCCAUGCCCUUGCUCAGUGGGUUAACGAUCCGGCGUUGCCGUGAGCUGUGGUGUAGGUGGCAGACGCGGCUCGGAUCCCGCGUUGCUGUGGCUCUGGCGUAGGCCGGUGGCUACAGCUCCGAUUCGACCCCUAGCCUGGGAACCUCCAUAUGCCGCGGGAGGGGCCCAAGAAAUAGCAACAACAACAACAAAAAGACAAAAGACAAAAAAUAAAUAAAUAAAUAAAUAAAAGUACCUCUAGGGU
rnacentral:lncRNA from 1 species